AUUGCACGCUAGCGUCAGGCCUAACACAUGCAAGUCGAGCGAGCGGCGAACUGGUGAGUAAUGUCUGGGAAACUGCCAGAUGGAGGGGGAUAACUACUGGAGACGGUAGCUAAUACCGCAUCCCAUCCGAUGUGACCAGAUGGGAUUAGCUAGGAGGUUGGGUAACGUGUCACCUAGGCGACGAUCUCUAGCUGGUCUUAGCGGAUGAACAGUCAGAAUUGGAAUGAGACACGGUCGAGACUCCGAAGAGAGGCAGCAGUGGGGAAUAUUGCAGAAAGGGGGCAAGCAUGAUGCGGACAUGGCGCGUGAAUGAAGAAGGCAUUCGGGGUGUAAAGUACUUGUAGUGGGGAGGCGUUACCCGCAGAAGAAGCACCGGCUAACUCCGUGCCAGCAGCCGCGGUAAUAC
rnacentral:rRNA from 1 species